AGCGUACACGGUGGAUGCCCUGGCAGUCAGAGGCGAUGAAGGACGUGCUAAUCUGCGAUAAGCGUCGGUAAGGUGAUAUGAACCGUUAUAACCGGCGAUUUCCGAAUGGGGAAACCCAGUGUGAUUCGUCACACUAUCAUUAACUGAAUCCAUAGGUUAAUGAGGCGAACCGGGGGAACUGAAACAUCUAAGUACCCCGAGGAAAAGAAAUCAACCGAGAUUCCCCCAGUAGCGGCGAGCGAACGGGGAGGAGCCCAGAGCCUGAAUCAGUGUGUGUGUUAGUGGAAGCGUCUGGAAAGGCGCGCGAUACAGGGUGACAGCCCCGUACACAAAAAUGCACAUGCUGUGAGCUCGAUGAGUAGGGCGGGACACGUGGUAUCCUGUCUGAAUAUGGGGGGACCAUCCUCCAAGGCUAAAUACUCCUGACUGACCGAUAGUGAACCAGUACCGUGAGGGAAAGGCGAAAAGAACCCCGGCGAGGGGAGUGAAAAAGAACCUGAAACCGUGUACGUACAAGCAGUGGGAGCACGCUUAGGCGUGUGACUGCGUACCUUUUGUAUAAUGGGUCAGCGACUUAUAUUCUGUAGCAAGGUUAACCGAAUAGGGGAGCCGAAGGGAAACCGAGUCUUAACUGGGCGUUAAGUUGCAGGGUAUAGACCCGAAACCCGGUGAUCUAGCCAUGGGCAGGUUGAAGGUUGGGUAACACUAACUGGAGGACCGAACCGACUAAUGUUGAAAAAUUAGCGGAUGACUUGUGGCUGGGGGUGAAAGGCCAAUCAAACCGGGAGAUAGCUGGUUCUCCCCGAAAGCUAUUUAGGUAGCGCCUCGUGAAUUCAUCUCCGGGGGUAGAGCACUGUUUCGGCAAGGGGGUCAUCCCGACUUACCAACCCGAUGCAAACUGCGAAUACCGGAGAAUGUUAUCACGGGAGACACACGGCGGGUGCUAACGUCCGUCGUGAAGAGGGAAACAACCCAGACCGCCAGCUAAGGUCCCAAAGUCAUGGUUAAGUGGGAAACGAUGUGGGAAGGCCCAGACAGCCAGGAUGUUGGCUUAGAAGCAGCCAUCAUUUAAAGAAAGCGUAAUAGCUCACUGGUCGAGUCGGCCUGCGCGGAAGAUGUAACGGGGCUAAACCAUGCACCGAAGCUGCGGCAGCGACGCUUAUGCGUUGUUGGGUAGGGGAGCGUUCUGUAAGCCUGUGAAGGUGUGCUGUGAGGCAUGCUGGAGGUAUCAGAAGUGCGAAUGCUGACAUAAGUAACGAUAAAGCGGGUGAAAAGCCCGCUCGCCGGAAGACCAAGGGUUCCUGUCCAACGUUAAUCGGGGCAGGGUGAGUCGACCCCUAAGGCGAGGCCGAAAGGCGUAGUCGAUGGGAAACAGGUUAAUAUUCCUGUACUUGGUGUUACUGCGAAGGGGGGACGGAGAAGGCUAUGUUGGCCGGGCGACGGUUGUCCCGGUUUAAGCGUGUAGGCUGGUUUUCCAGGCAAAUCCGGAAAAUCAAGGCUGAGGCGUGAUGACGAGGCACUACGGUGCUGAAGCAACAAAUGCCCUGCUUCCAGGAAAAGCCUCUAAGCAUCAGGUAACAUCAAAUCGUACCCCAAACCGACACAGGUGGUCAGGUAGAGAAUACCAAGGCGCUUGAGAGAACUCGGGUGAAGGAACUAGGCAAAAUGGUGCCGUAACUUCGGGAGAAGGCACGCUGAUAUGUAGGUGAAGUCCCUCGCGGAUGGAGCUGAAAUCAGUCGAAGAUACCAGCUGGCUGCAACUGUUUAUUAAAAACACAGCACUGUGCAAACACGAAAGUGGACGUAUACGGUGUGACGCCUGCCCGGUGCCGGAAGGUUAAUUGAUGGGGUCAGCGCAAGCGAAGCUCUUGAUCGAAGCCCCGGUAAACGGCGGCCGUAACUAUAACGGUCCUAAGGUAGCGAAAUUCCUUGUCGGGUAAGUUCCGACCUGCACGAAUGGCGUAAUGAUGGCCAGGCUGUCUCCACCCGAGACUCAGUGAAAUUGAACUCGCUGUGAAGAUGCAGUGUACCCGCGGCAAGACGGAAAGACCCCGUGAACCUUUACUAUAGCUUGACACUGAACAUUGAGCCUUGAUGUGUAGGAUAGGUGGGAGGCUUAGAAGUGUGGACGCCAGUCUGCAUGGAGCCGACCUUGAAAUACCACCCUUUAAUGUUUGAUGUUCUAACGUUGACCCGUAAUCCGGGUUGCGGACAGUGUCUGGUGGGUAGUUUGACUGGGGCGGUCUCCUCCUAAAGAGUAACGGAGGAGCACGAAGGUUGGCUAAUCCUGGUCGGACAUCAGGAGGUUAGUGCAAUGGCAUAAGCCAGCUUGACUGCGAGCGUGACGGCGCGAGCAGGUGCGAAAGCAGGUCAUAGUGAUCCGGUGGUUCUGAAUGGAAGGGCCAUCGCUCAACGGAUAAAAGGUACUCCGGGGAUAACAGGCUGAUACCGCCCAAGAGUUCAUAUCGACGGCGGUGUUUGGCACCUCGAUGUCGGCUCAUCACAUCCUGGGGCUGAAGUAGGUCCCAAGGGUAUGGCUGUUCGCCAUUUAAAGUGGUACGCGAGCUGGGUUUAGAACGUCGUGAGACAGUUCGGUCCCUAUCUGCCGUGGGCGCUGGAGAACUGAGGGGGGCUGCUCCUAGUACGAGAGGACCGGAGUGGACGCAUCACUGGUGUUCGGGUUGUCAUGCCAAUGGCACUGCCCGGUAGCUAAAUGCGGAAGAGAUAAGUGCUGAAAGCAUCUAAGCACGAAACUUGCCCCGAGAUGAGUUCUCCCUGACUCCUUGA
rnacentral:rRNA from 1 species